rnacentral:rRNA from 1 species
UGGCGAACGGGUUAGUAAUGCGUGACCAACCUGCCCCAUGCUCCAGAAUAGCUCUUGGAAACGGGUGGUAAUGCUGGAUGCUCCAACUUGACGCAUGUCUUGUUGGGAAAGUGUUUAGUGGCAUGGGAUGGGGUCGCGUCCUAUCAGCUUGUAGGCGGGGUAAUGGCCCACCUAGGCUUCGACGGGUAGCCGGCCUUAGAGGGCGGACGGCCACAUUGGGACUGAGAUACGGCCCAGACUCCUACGGGAGGCAGCAGCA